GAAAAGUUAGUUUAAGUAAAAAUACUGUUUUGUGGUAGCAGGGAUUAAUUUUGUUUUAACUUUUUA
rnacentral:tRNA from 1 species